AUUUUCGACUCCUGCACCUUCUCAAGCCCUAGGUUCCCUUCCUUGAUCCUGCUGGUCCAAUGAGGGGUGAGUCUCACCUCACCGAUCAGAUCUCGUUUUUUUGAGUAGAUGGAAGUGGAAGUAUUGCAUCGUCCUUCCAGGAAAAGAAUGCAUAUGCGCGGCGAGAAAGAAAAAUUUACGUGAAUUGUCGAGGAUAAGAUACCGAGAAAUUAUAUUAAGAGGGUCGAUCUGUUAAUUUGGUACGGUAAUAAAUAGUCUAAAGUCUGAGUCAUUUCCUCCUCCUAAUAGGCUGACUUAAUGAAUAUUUGAGUGUUUUUAGAUACAAUCAUCGAAGCUAAAUUCAUUCUACUAUAUUAAAGACAAGUUCUCAUGAUGGUGUAACUGCAAUGGAUUCAAAAGUUUCCAACAAAUAUUAUGCAAAGUUUAAAAGUCACGAAUAUGCAGCACCAAAAAUGAGUAGAUCUCUGAUAUUAAGUGACAACUACAUUUCUCUAACUAGUUAUUCAUCAUCCACUCAUCACUCAGCUAUGUACUCACUCCUGAUAUAAUUUUUGUUACAUACAGUCAGUCAUAAAAGCUUCCGUACACUCUUUAAAAUAGAAUAACUUUUUUAAUGUUGUACUAAAUGACUUGAGUCUGUUUUGAGAAGUUAGAAGCAUUAGUUUACUAGAUGAUGUGUAAAAAAAUUUUGAGAAAAUUACUAUUUAUCGAAAUUGCGGAGAAAAUAAUAAGGAUCGCCUUUUACAACUUUUGUAAAAUGUGUAUUUAAUCUAAAAAAGUUUGUGUAAAAUUUCAUUGAAAUCAGUUACUAUAGACUAAACAUUACUGUAGACUACAAAUAGUUAAAAACGAUGAAAAUUGCAGUUUUUUUGCGAUAUUCGGCCUGUAAAUGUGAUAAAUCUAAAGAUUCUUAUAUCCUUCGAUGCCUGUCGCUUGUUUCUGCAUCAACUGAUUUCGAUUAAAUUUUCACCAUAUACAUACAUAGCUGACAUAAAUCUACAAAACGUAUUUUUCAAAUUUUCAUUAGAAACUCAGAUAAAAUAAUUGUAAAAAGCGACUUUUACAAUUUUCUUCGUAAUUUCAACCAAUUGCAAUUUUCUCAAAAUUGGCUUACAUAUCACAUAGUAAACUAAUCUUUCCUUCCUAACUUUACAAGAAAAGCUCAAGUCGUUUGGUUCUAUUUUAGAAAACGUAUUCUGUUUUAAAGAAUAAAUGGACACUUUUUUGAGUGACCGUACAGUGGCACUUAAUUCAUUUGAUAGAAUUAUAGAAAGAUAAUCAUAGCUAUAUUUCUUAUUGAUUUGUAUUUUUUCUUUAAAGCAAAUGAAGAUAUUUAAACAAAAAUAUGCCUGGAAUUCAAUUCAAAACAUUAUAUCGUAAACGAAUUAAAAAGCGAACAUUAACGUUAGUGGGGAAGACUUCUGGCAAUAUUUUUCAAGAUAUGUUUAAAUUUCUCUGUUCAUAAAAUAAUAAUUUAAUAACAAGAUAUACAAUAAAAUAUAUAAUAAAAUAGAAUAAUAAAGUAUCUAGGAUUAUAUUUAAUUCUUGAAAACAUUAUCAAUUAACAUUUAAAAAUUCGAGAAUUUUUUAUAUAAUAACAUUUGCAUAUGCAUUUUAUAAAAUAUGUAUAUUCAGUAUUUAAGUUCCGUACACGAAAUUAUCAACCUAUUGGUGGCUUUUAAUUAUUUCAAGAGAUAACAUAUUUGUUUAUUCUUAAUUUAAUUACAAGAUAAAGAACAACUAUAUUUAUACAUAUAACAAUUAUAUUUUAUUCAUAUACCUAUUUGUAACAGAUCUUAUUAUAUUUAAAAUAACAUGAUAAAAUAUUUGUUAUAAAUUUACUAUAUACCAAAAACUACACAGCUUAAAUUCUACUCAUAAUAUUUAUAAUCAAAUAUUACAAUCGAUA